rnacentral:lncRNA from 1 species
ACACGAGGCUUGACCUUCUUAUCGAACGAGUUCUUCACUCUCUGCUGAUGUAAUUGACCAUGACACAUGGCAGUUAAUCUCUCCUUUUCGUUCAGAUUCACUUGGUCGUAACGACUCUGAAUCCAUUCAGCAUCAGUCAACUUGGGACUUUGAGGGUGCUGUUUUUUCUUUUGUUUCUUUCUUACUUUUUUUCUUCCUUUUUGUUCUUUUUUUUGGAUUUCUUUUGAUUU